AGCAUCAUGGCGCAGCGGAAGCGCGCCGGGCUCAUAACCCGGAGGUCCCUGGAUCGAAACCAGGUGAUGCUA
rfam:Erysiphe necator strain c c-strain-scaffold_4325, whole genome shotgun sequence.